AGAGUUUGAUUCUGGCUCAGGACGAACGCUGGCGGCGUGCUUAACACAUGCAAGUCGAACGAUGAAGCCUAGCUUGCUAGGUGGAUUAGUGGCGAACGGGUGAGUAAUACGUGAGUAACCUACCUUUAACUCUGGGAUAAGCCUGGGAAACUGGGUCUAAUACCGGAUACGACCAAUCUCCGCAUGGGGUGUUGGUGGAAAGCGUUAUGUAGUGGUUAUAGAUGGGCUCACGGCCUAUCAGCUUGUUGGUGAGGUAACGGCUCACCAAGGCGACGACGGGUAGCCGGCCUGAGAGGGUGACCGGCCACACUGGGACUGAGACACGGCCCAGACUCCUACGGGAGGCAGCAGUGGGGAAUAUUGCACAAUGGGCGCAAGCCUGAUGCAGCGACGCCGCGUGAGGGAUGACGGCCUUCGGGUUGUAAACCUCUGUUAGCAGGGAAGAAGAGAGAUUGACGGUACCUGCAGAGAAAGCGCCGGCUAACUACGUGCCAGCAGCCGCGGUAAUACGUAGGGCGCGAGCGUUGUCCGGAAUUAUUGGGCGUAAAGAGCUUGUAGGCGGUUUGUCGCGUCUGCUGUGAAAGGCCGGGGCUUAACUCCGUGUAUUGCAGUGGGUACGGGCAGACUAGAGUGCAGUAGGGGAGACUGGAAUUCCUGGUGUAGCGGUGGAAUGCGCAGAUAUCAGGAGGAACACCGAUGGCGAAGGCAGGUCUCUGGGCUGUAACUGACGCUGAGAAGCGAAAGCAUGGGGAGCGAACAGGAUUAGAUACCCUGGUAGUCCAUGCCGUAAACGUUGGGCACUAGGUGUGGGGGACAUUCCACGUUUUCCGCGCCGUAGCUAACGCAUUAAGUGCCCCGCCUGGGGAGUACGGCCGCAAGGCUA
rnacentral:rRNA from 2 species